CAGCCGCCGCGGUAAUACGAAGGGGGCUAGCGUUGUUCGGAAUUACUGGGCGUAAAGGGCGCGUAGGCGGCCAUUCAAGUUAGAUGUGAAAGCCCUGGGCUCAACCUAGGAAUUGCAUUUGAUACUGUUUGGCUUGAGUUCGGGAGAGGUGAGUGGAAUUCCCAGUGUAGAGGUGAAAUUCGUAGAUAUUGGGAAGAACACCAGUGGCGAAGGCGGCUCACUGGACCGACACUGACGCUGAGGCGCGAAAGCGUGGGGAGCAAACAGGAUUAGAUACCCCCGUAGUCCCUGUCUCUUAUAC
rnacentral:rRNA from 1 species